AACGAACGCUGGCGGCAUGCCUAACACAUGCAAGUCGAACGAGACCUUCGGGUCUAGUGGCGCACGGGUGCGUAACGCGUGGGAACCUGCCCUUAGGUUCGGAAUAACUCCCCGAAAGGGGUGCUAAUACCGGAUAAUGUCUUCGGACCAAAGAUUUAUCGCCUUUGGAUGGGCCCGCGUUGGAUUAGCUGGUUGGUAGGGUAAAAGCCUACCAAGGGGUCGAUCCAUAGCUGGCCUGAGAGGAUGAUCAGCCACACUGGGACUGAGACACGGCCCAGAAUCCUACGGGAGGAAGCAGUGGGGAAUAUUGGACAAUGGGCGAAAGCAUGAUCCAGCAAUGCCGCGUGAGUGAUGAAGGCCUUAGGGUUGUAAAGCUCUUUUACCCGGGAUGAUAAUGACAGUACCGGGAGAAUAAGCUCCGGCUAACUCCGUG
rnacentral:rRNA from 1 species